GGAGAGGUGCCAGAGCGGCCGAAUGGGGCGGUCUCGAAAACCGUUGUGGGCUCCGCCCACCGUGGGUUCGAAUCCCACCCUCUCCG
rnacentral:tRNA from 1 species